AGCCUCCGGAAUAUGACACAAGUUCUAUCGGAGGUGAAGCCUGCCCAGUGAGUUAUUAAUCUUUAACGGCUGCAGUAUCCUGACUGUACUAAGGUAGCAUAAUCAUUUGGCCUUUAAUUGGGGUCUGGUAUGAAAGGCUAAACGGGGAAAAACUGUCUCCUGCCUGUAACAAAAAUUUAACUUAGAAGUGAAGAGGCUUCUUUUAACUAGGAGGACGAGAAGACCCCAGAGAGCUUAGAGGUUCACGGAUAAUUAUUGAGAUUCUGUUGGGUUUCUUUAGUUGGGGCGACUCGGGAACAAGAAAAGCUUCCUUUACAAUUAGCAGGUUUAUAAGAGCCACUAAGAAGAAUAGUGACAGCAUGCGAUAAGUUACCUUGGGGAUAACAGCAUAAUGUUAGUUUAGAGACCCUAUCGAAACUAACGAUUAUGACCUCGAUGUUGGACUAGGGAUUGCUUUAGUAGAUGCAGAUGUCACUUAAGUUAGCCUGUUCGGCUAUUAAAACCCU
rnacentral:rRNA from 1 species